rnacentral:rRNA from 1 species
UACGGAGGGUGCAAGCGUUAUCCGGAAUCACUGGGUUUAAAGGGUGCGUAGGCGGCUUAGUUAGUCAGAGGUGAAAGCUCGCAGCUUAACUGUGGAAUUGCCUUUGAUACUGCUAGGCUUGAAUCAGGAUGAGGUAGGCGGAAUGUGACAUGUAGCGGUGAAAUGCUUAGAUAUGUCAUAGAACACCAAUUGCGAAGGCAGCUUACUAGACCUGAAUUGACGCUGAGGCACGAAAGCGUGGGUAGCGAACAGG